rnacentral:rRNA from 1 species
UCCGCCAGGGAACUACGAGCAAUAGCUUAAAACCCAAAGGACUUGGCGGUGCCCUACACCACCUAGAGGAGCCUGUUCUAUAAUCGAUAAUCCACGAUACACCUCACCGUUUCUUGCCUAAACCGCCUAUAUACCGCCGUCGUCAACUUACCCCUUGAGGGCUUCAUAGUAAGUUUAAUGGUAUUCACCAAAACGUCAGGUCAAGGUGUAGCGAAUGAAACGGGAAGAAAUGGGCUACAUUUUCUAUUUUAGACUAUACGGACAACCGAUAUGAAACUUGGUUGCAAAGGAGGAUUUAGCAGUAAAAAGAAAUCAUCAAGUUCUUUUUAACAUGGCCCUAGGGUGCGCACACACCGCCCGUCGCCCUCUUCGACUCUUUAAAAUUAAUUCAUGAUAAGUAACUAUGAAAUUAGAAGAGGUAAGUCGUAACAUGGUAAGUGUACCGGAAGGUGUACUUGGA